UCCCUGGUGGUCCAGUGGCUAAGACUCUGCCCUCCAAGGCAGGGGGCUCAGGUUUGAUCCCUGGUCAGGGAA
rfam:Ovis aries breed Texel chromosome 3, whole genome shotgun sequence.